rnacentral:lncRNA from 1 species
CCGUUUUUAUGAAUAUAUAUACAUGUUAUUGUACUUGCCCAAAAUCUAAUUUGUUUUAGAGAUGAUUAAAAGUAACGUUUUAAUUAAUCACAGGAGAAAAAAAAUCAACAAAUUCAACUGCACCAAAUAUAAAAAUCAGUCCACCUUCAACAAAAUUGAGCAGAAGCUUCAAGUUCAAGGUAAUGAUGCCAGCAUGGCGUGCUAAAGUGUGCAGAAAGAGAAAAAAAAUUUUUUAAGCUCGGGAUUUCGGCAUUGAUUCAUUCGGGAUCCAGGAAUACUUUUUUCGAAUUUUGGGAUGUUGGGAUUUACAUUUCUUUAAAUUUGGGACCUCAGGAUUCCAUGUUUUUAAGCCCGAGAUUUCGUGAUCAGGACCCUCCUACCACCCUCUUUAUUUAGUAGCUCAUAUAACGAGCAUGUCUUUGCUUGGUUCAUUUUCAAUUGAAAUUAAUGAAACAUAUGACGUAUAGAUCUGAAUCGGGGUGAUCACUGUUAAAAUAAUCUUAAUAGCCUAGAAGAUAAAGUUUGGUUAUCUAAAGAUAUAAGUUCGGUAAGGGACAUGUUUUGUGCGCUUAUUUAUUAAGUUCAAUGUUUCAAGAUAUAAAUACUUGUACUCUGGUCUAAGAAAAAAAAGUAGUAUAUAUUAGUGUUUGCUUCAUGCCACGUUAG